CACGUAGGGGACGAGCGUUGUCCGGAUUCAUUGGGCGUAAAGCGCGCGUAGGCGGCUCGGAAAGUCGGUCGUGAAAUGCCGGGGCUCAACCCCGGGACUGCGUCCGAUACUUCCGGGCUGGAGGUAGGUAGGGGAGAUCGGAAUUCCUGGUGUAGCGGUGAAAUGCGCAGAUAUCAGGAGGAACACCGGUGGCGAAGGCGGAUCUCUGGGCCUUACCUGACGCUGAGGCGCGAAAGCUAGGUGACAUCAAACCGG
rnacentral:rRNA from 1 species